rnacentral:rRNA from 1 species
ACGGGAGGCAGCAGUGAGGAAUAUUGGUCAAUGGACGGAAGUCUGAACCAGCCAAGUCGCGUGCGGGAUGAAGGCCCUACGGGUCGUAAACCGCUUUUGUACGGGGAUAAAGUCACCCACGUGUGGGUGUUUGUAGGUACCGUAAGAAUAAGGAUCGGCUAACUCCGUGCCAGCAGCCGCGGUAAUACGGAGGAUCCGAGCGUUAUCCGGAUUUAUUGGGUUUAAAGGGAGCGUAGGCGGGAAGUCAAGUCAGCUGUGAAAUGUAGUCGCUCAACGUCUGCACUGCAGUUGAAACUGGUUUUCUUGAGUGCGUAAGAGGCAGGUGGAAUUUGUCGUGUAGCGGUGAAAUGCUUAGAUAUGACGAAGAACUCCGAUUGCGAAGGCAGCCUGCUGGGCCGCAACUGACGCUGAAGCUCGAAGGUGCGGGUAUCAAACAGGAUUAGAUACCCUGGUA